UUAUAAUCCAUCUUGUGAGUGCAACCUAUGAUUUUGCGUGCCAGUGCUGUAUACUGUACAUCACUAUGUGCUGUUUUUUCUUAUAUUUUAGCAUCUAGCUGUAUCCCUAUUGUUAUCCAUAUCCAUUCCACACCCAUAGCAACCAGACUCUCUAGCCGGCAAUUUUAGCGCCAGCUAGAGAAUCUUGGAAUAGAGUAAUGUCACUCCAAUCUCAC